rnacentral:lncRNA from 1 species
ACGGAGUUUAAACCCAAGCCCUGGCCGCGAACGCCGGGCUUCGGGAGCUGGGUGCUGGUUCCCCCGACCCUGAAAAAGCGUGAUGGAGUACUCAGCAAUGGAAACUAGUUCAAUUUUUCCUUCAGGAAUUAAGAAACAUGUGAAAGACAGAAGAAUUUCAAAGACUACUAAGUUGAAUGUUUCUCUUGCUUCAAAAAUAAAAACAAAAAUAAUAAACAAUUCUUCUAUUUUCAAAAUUUCUUUAAAGCAUAACAACAGGGCAUUAGCUCUAGCUCUUAGUAAAGAGAGAGAGAAUUCUCGCAUGAUUACAACUGAAAAGAUGCUAUUGCAAAAAGAAGUGGAUAAACUGAAUUUUGAGAACACAUUUCUUCGUCUAAAGCUAAAUAAUUUGAAUAAGAAGCUUAUAGAAAUAGAAGCACUCAUGAACAAUAACUUGAUAACUGCAAUUGAAAUGAGCACUCUUUCUGAGUUCCAUCAGAGUCCCUUUCUACUGCCAAGUAGCAAGAAGAAACGGGUUAGUCAGCAGUGCAAAUUGACACGUCUCCCAUUUGCAAGGGUUCCAUUAACUUCAAAUGACGAUGAUGAUGAAGAUAAAGAGAAAAUACAGUGUGAUGACAGCACCAUAUCGAAGACAUCACCUGAUAGUCCCUCUUUGGUAUCAGCAAGACCAGUAUCAACUCAGAAUAAUCUAAGAGUGCUAUUUGUUAAAGAAAAUGAUCAGAAUGUUUGUAGUGUAAAUGAUUCAAAACAUGUUUCUUCUGUUGUUGAUGUACUUCCCAAAGGUGAGAUUUUUAAAGUUCAUUUUGAGUAUCAGUAUUAA